AGAAAGCCCUGGGGGUGGGGGCGUGGAAGCAAAAGACAGCGGGUCUCUGCGAGUCACUCUUGUUCAGUCUCAGGACCCUGGGAGACACUCAUGGUUUCCUGGGCUUUUUCCCAGGAAUUUGGCAUUGAACUUGAUGUUAAUCUGAGGGAGUUUCCAGUUCCUGGCUGCGAGGCUGGAUGAGGACACGUGGCCCCGAGGCACAGAGAGCCCAGGGCUGUGGGCAGAGAAGAGUCAGAGCCUCAGGGGCCUCGCCCUGUCCAGAACUCCACGUGACAUGACGCCCCACAGAGCGAACCUCUGACAAACAAGCAUGGGGCCCGUGUUGCCCUAGUGGAUGGAAAUGGACGUGGGAAGCAACAAGAUGCAUGUAAAUAAAUGGAUUCCACAGAAGAGUGAGGCCUCAUCUCAGCCUGCUGCCUGGGCACUGAAACUCACCCUGAGCUGUCUCAUUAGCCCAGAAUCUUGCACUUGGAAGACAGUAGAUCAACGUCUUCUCGCUCUACAGGUCACCACCCUCAGACUUUGUCUUCAGGAAGAAAUGCUUCCAGGUUAUUUCUGACAAUUUUCUCGGAUUAAAAACAUUUGAAUGGGCACAUACAUGUGUUUUUUCAUGAGCUGUGUAAACAGUUGGCCAGUAAACAGUGAGGGGUACAGCUAUUUACCUUCCAGAUUCAUUGUAGGUUUCAGAUGCACACACUCUGAGUUUAUUUAGAGUUCCUUCUAAAAAAAAGGGCCCACAUACAUGACACAAUGUAACUAUGUCAUUAGCAUGAUUUUAAUAUCUGUGUUGGCCAAAACUAUGAGAGAUAUGCAGAAUCCAAUUGUAUUAUUUACUACUUGUUAUAGCCCUAUCAAAAUUCUAGCAUGAAAAUACAGAGAUUAUAAAUAAUUAUAUAAAUGAUGUAUGAAAUAAUCUAAUGCUUUAUUAAUGAGAUUUUUAAAAUUCAUAAUAAACACUUAGAUUUAGUGAGUUUCUGUUGUGUCUGGAAAAAUAUUUGUGUCAAUUCCAAUUGAGUUGGUGUAAUUACAAUGGCGUUAAUUUGAUUGUCUAAAAGUAAAAAAGAGUUGUUCCUUAUGACCAUUUUUCUCCUUAACUCUCCAUACUUCAGAGAACAUCACCUAAGAACAAGGGCAUUCUCUUACAUAACCACAGCAUAAUUACCAAAAUCAUCCACUUGUUCCCGUUAAAUAUUGAAGCCGUCAAAAUCAUCUUUCAAGAAAGGCACAGACCUGUCUCCUGGUCACAUCCUCGACCUUGGCAAAAUAAACUUCAAAACUGAUUGAGACCUGUCUCAUGAAUUCCUGAGAAAAACCUAUUUGCAUGAAUUCAUGAGCAGUUUAAUUUAUUAAAUCAUGAAUAUAUAACAUUACAUCAAUAGAACCAAUAAGAAAAAACAUACAAUAUCCUCUAUGCUGAGAAAGUGGCAGAAGAAUUUAAUACCCAUUUCUUGGAAAAUGAAAUAUUGGAAUAUACAGAAAAGUGAAAAAUCAAAAAGGGUGGUGUUGGCAAAAAAAGACUGGAUAGAUGGAAGGAACAAUGGAGGUGAUACAGAAUGUAGCAUGUGAAGAAGCAGAAUGAAAAAGGAUACAUCACAAAUCAAACAGAAAAAUUUACUAAAUCACUUUUUAUCUACUUCCACAAUAAUGCUGUAAAGAAAACCACUUCAAAGCUUGGUGGAGCAAAGCAAUAAACAUUUAUGAUUGCUCAUGAGCCUAGGGUCAGCUGGGUGGUUCUUCUGGUUGGGACAGGGCAAGGGUGAUCUUGGUUAGGCUCACUCAGCUGGAGGGUUGUUGACUGGUGACUGGAUGAUCUAAGAUGGUUAUGCCUGGGACAGAUAUAAAUAUAGAAGAAAGUAGAAAUUUGGUUUUGUUUGUAGCUCCUCUUAAAAUAUCCUAUCUGAUUUAAAAGACUACUGCCUAAUGCAAUAAUUGUACAUCUAAGUAGAUUGAUACACAAUGUAUUAAGGCCUCAAAAUAUAUGAAGAUGUAUAUUGGGACCAUAACAGCCCUAAGGGGUAGGGGAACAAAGCUAUAUAGAAACAAAAUUAAAAAAAAUACUAUUGAAGUAGUUGGUAGUAAUCCAAACUAGAUUAUUGUAAGCUAAAAUGCUAAUGGUAACCCCAAUAAUAAUCAUGAUAAAAUACUCAAAAAUAUAUAGUAAAAGAACUAACUGGAAAAUAGAAGUGGUACUGGAAGAUAUCUAUUUAACACAAGGCAGUAAUGGAAAAAAAAAGGAAGAACAAAAAAGACGUAAGUCACGUAAAAAACAAAUAACAAAAUGGCAGACGUAAAUUCUAUCUUACUUAUAUUAAAUAGUAAUAGAUUAAAUUCUCCAAUUAAAAGUCAGAAAUUGGAAGAGUGAAUGAAAAAAACAUUGUAUAAAUAUACGCUAUAUCUAUCCAACAAUAUGUAUACAAGAAACACACUUUUGAUUCAAAGACACAAAUUGGUUGAAAUUAAUAUGAUGGAAAGAGAUGGAUAACCAACAGAGAGCUGGAGGGACUAUGCUAAUAUUAGACAAAAUAGACACAUGUUGUUCCUGGAGACAAAGGACAUUUUAUAAUGACAUAAGGGUAAAUUCACCAAGAAGGUAUAACAAAUAUAAAUAUAUGUAUAUGUAACAACAGAAUCUCAAAAUACAUGAAGCAAAACUGACAGAAUUGAAGAGAGCAAUAGACAAUUUACCGGUAAUAAAGACUUCACUAUUCUACUUUCAACAACGGAUAGUGCAACUAAGCAAGAGAAUGAGAUUUAAUAUCUAGCAUUACCUUAAUUCUAUUUCUUUGUAAAAUAUAUCUUGGCUAUUUGUGUCCAAUUGUUACACUUACACAAACACAUUUAAAAAUUAGUAUUUCACACAUUAUAUAAAUGAUGCUAAGCAAGCAAUAGGAUUCUUUAUUUAAUCAUCACUUAAUUGUUUUUUUUUAAAAACUCAUCUAC
rnacentral:lncRNA from 10 species